rnacentral:rRNA from 6 species
CAAAUGACUCUCGGCAAUGGAUAUCUCGGCUCUUGCAUCGAUGAAGAACGUAGUGAAAUGCGAUACUUGGUGUGAAUUGCAGAAUCUCGUGAACCAUUGAGUCUUUGAACGCAAGUUGUGCCCGAGGCCUUGUGGUCGAGGGCACGCCUGCUUGGGUGUCAUGG